rnacentral:tRNA from 1 species
GGCGGAUGUAGCCAAGUGGAUCAAGGCAGUGGAUUGUGAAUCCACCAUGCGCGCGCG